rnacentral:rRNA from 1 species
GCAAAACGCGAAGAACCUUACCAAGGCUUGACAUCCCCUUGACCGGCACAGAGAUGUGCCCUCUCCUUCGGGAGCAAGGGUGACAGGAGGUGCAUGGUUGUCGUCAGCUCGUGUCGUGAGAUGUUGGGUUAAGUCCCGCAACGAGCGCAACCCUUAUCCUUAGUUGCCAGCAUUUAAGGUGGGCACUCUAAGGAGACUGCCGAUGAUAAAUCGGAGGAAGGUAGGGAUGACGUCAAAUCAUCAUGCCCCUUAUGUCUUGGGCUACACACGUGCUACAAUGGUCGGUACAAAGGGGAGCGAAGGAGUGAUCUGGAGCAAAUCCCAAUAAACCGAUCUCAGUUCGGAUUGUAGGCUGCAACUCGCCUACAUGAAGUCGGAGUUGCUAGUAAUCGCGAAUCAGAACGUCGCGGUGAAUGCGUUCCCGGGUCUUGUACACACCG